GUAGGUGGCAAGCGUUGUCCGGAAUUAUUGGGCGUAAAGCGCGCGCAGGCGGUUCUUCAAGUCUGAUGUGAAAGCCCACGGCUCAACCGUGGAGGGUCAUUGGAAACUGGAGAACUUGAGUACAGAAGAGGAAAGCGGAAUUCCACGUGUAGCGGUGAAAUGCGUAGAGAUGUGGAGGAACACCAGUGGCGAAGGCGGCUUUCUGGUCUGUAACUGACGCUGAGGCGCGAAAGCGUGGGGGAGCAAGCAGGAUUAGAUACCCUGGUAGUCCACGCCGUAAACCGAUGAGUGCUAAGUGUUAGGGGGUUUUCCGCCCCCCCCUUAGUGCUGCAGCUAACGCAUUAAGCACUCCGCCUGGGGAGUACGGCCGCAAGGCUG
rnacentral:rRNA from 1 species